rnacentral:misc_RNA from 1 species
GACAGAGGGUGCAAACGUUGUUCGGAAUCACUGGGCGUAAAGCGCGUGUAGGCGGCAGGGCAAGUCGGACGUGAAAGCCCAUGGCUCAACCAUGGAAGUGCAUCCGAAACUGCUCAGCUAGAGUCCCGGAGAGGGAGGUGGAAUGCUUGGUGUAGAGGUGAAAUUCGUAGAUAUCAAGCAGAACACCUGUGGCGAAGGCGGCCUCCUGGACGGUGACUGACGCUGAGACGCGAAAGCGUGGGGAGCAAACAGG